AGGAACGGAGGGAGUAUGUGGUAAAACCAAACAACUUUUAUUGUAUAUUCAUGCGAUCUCAAAUUCUAUCAAUUCCAUUUUGUUUUCGAACUAUCGAAUUCCACCUGCCAUGCAUGGCGCCUUUUUUUCGAAAACAAAAUCAUCACCCCUAUCUUGUCAACAACAUGAAAAACAACGGUUUAACUACAGGAUUUUACUUGUUCAAUAUUUUGUAUAAUAGGCACACGGCUUUGUCUACAGAUUUGGACAUCAGUUAUCUCAGAUACUCAAUUUGGACCUUGUGCACACACGACCAAUUGUAAAUGGAAAACUGAGCACCGUUUAAUCGACAGAUCAACCAUGUUAUCAUUUUCGUGGAAAUAAAAAAGAAAGUGGGAAGCACCCCAAAUUUUAAAAACGCACUUAAUUUGGACACGUAAAAUUAUUGUUUAAUCGUUUGACCUCAAAACCAAAUAAUCAUAACGGAAAGGAAGAAAAAAAAGAAAAAACGUGUGAACCAGCAAGGAGAGGAAAACCAGCCGGAGAUAACGG
rnacentral:lncRNA from 1 species